AACGGCCAUAUCAUGCUGAAUAUAUCGGUUCUCGUUAGAUCACCGAAGUCAAGCAUCAUUGGGCGCGGUCAGUACUUGGGUGGGUGACCACAUGGG
rnacentral:rRNA from 1 species